GCUUUUGAAGGAUAAUAGCUGAUCCUUUGGUCUUAGGAACCAAAAACUCUUGGUGCAAAUCCAAGUAAAAGCU
rnacentral:tRNA from 1 species